AUUAUCAAGAACGAAAGUUAGAGGUUCGAAGGCGAUCAGAUACCGCCCUAGUUCUAACCAUAAACGAUGCCAGCCAGCGAUCCGGCUGUGUUCCUCAAAUGACACGCCGGGCAGCUUCCGGGAAACCAAAGCUUUUGGGUUCCGGGGGAAGUAUGGUUGCAAAGCUGAAACUUAAAGGAAUUGACGGAAGGGCACCACCAGGAAUGGAGCCUGCGGCUUAAUUUGACUCAACACGGGAAAACUUACCCGGCCCGGACACAGGAAGGAUUGACAGAUUAAGAGCUCUUUCUUGAUUCUGUGGGUGGUGGUGCAUGGCCGUUCUUAGUUGGUGGAGCGAUUUGUCUGGUUAAUUCCGAUAACGAACGAGACUCUAGCCUACUAAAUAGACGUUCCGAUCAUUUUCGUCGGACGUUCUUCUUAGAGGGACAAGCGGCGUUUAGCCGCACGAGACAGAGCAAUAACAGGUCUGUGAUGCCCUUAGAUGUCCGGGGCCGCACGCGCGCUACAUUGAAGGAAUCAGCGUGUGCUUUCCCUGUCCGACAGGACUGGGUAACCCGUUGAACCUCCUUCGUGCUGGGGAUAGGGGCUUGUAAUUGUUCCCCUUGAACGAGGAAUUCCCAGUAAGCACGAGUCAUAAGCUCGUGUUGAUUACGUCCCUGCCCUUUGUACACACCGCCCGUCGCUACUACCGAUUGAAUGAUUUAGUGAGGUCUUCGGACUGGCGCUCGGAGCGGCCCUCGGGUCGCGCCGGCGUGCCGGAAAGAUGACCAAACUUGAUCAUUUAGAGGAAGUAAAAGUCGUAACAAGGU
rnacentral:rRNA from 1 species